rnacentral:rRNA from 1 species
UUACCUUUGUAAUUAUAUAGUGGGCCACACGUGUGCUACAUUAGGUAGUGCAAAAGAUGAUUCGAUAUACGAAUUAUAAAACUACCUUUGUUCAGAUUAGACUCUGAAAUGGGGUCUAUGAAGUUGGAAUAGUGAGUAAUCGGGGAUCAUACACGCCCCGGUGAA